rnacentral:lncRNA from 1 species
UACAUUUCAACACAUGCAACCUUCAGUACAUUUAAACAUUACCAUUAACCUUUUGAAUCAACAAUAUCAACAAGCUUACACACUGAAAGUCAUAAAAAAACUUGAUCCCCAAACAAAAAAGCAGCAUUUUUGAUAUCCAAACGAUAUCAACAAUUAUGUUUCGACCAUGAUACAGAACAUCCCACAACAAUAGAACAUUCUUACCAGCAAUUUUUGAUAUCCAAAAUAUAACAACAAGUAUUUCUUGACCAUGACACAAAAAAUCUCACAGUAAUGGAACAAUCUUAAGGUUUCCAAGCACAAGAGAAGAUUUGUAACACGCAUAUCAUAUUUAUUCAAAAUUCAAACUGAAUUUGUUGGUGUAUCCGUUGGCCCUUCUUAUCCAAAACAAAACAGUUUCAAAUCUUCUAUGCUUCCUUGCACAUGAAACUCCCCUUUGAUACACACAUAUCUACAGAACAUCCAUAACAAGGAAGACACAUGUUAGAGUAUAUUUAGAACAAGCAUGGCACAAACUAUGUGGAAAACAGAGGAAAUACAUAUCUACUGUUUGGUUUCAGUCAAGGAAAUACAUAUCUACAGUUUAGCAUCCAACUUUAGCACUCAAGUUCAGGUUUGCACUUACAAAAACAAAGACAAAUCAGGUUUAGCAUCUAACUUUUGCACUCAAGUUUACUGAAGUUAGUAUACUCAAAUUAUUAUACUGAAGUUACUAACUUCAACAGAUACUUCUACUAACAGAUAUGAUGAAGUAAUCCGUAACAUAGCAGAAUCCUAGCAUAUAUGAAUCAAUUUGCUCAAGAUUUAGAAAUAUUGUCUGUGUUGAUUUGGAAAUAUCUGAAUCCUACUAAUAUGCAGCAGCACCAGCACCAGCAAAACGAGGCAGCAAAUCACAUACCAGCACCAGCACCAGCAAAACGAGGCAACGAAUCACAAUAGCAGACCAAAUUCAGUUUACUGAACCAGAUUCAGUUGAGCAACGAACAGGAAGAAACAGAGGAAAUCACAUACCUGCAGGACGACGCCGACGGCAGGCUGAGGACGAGGGUGAGGACGAGGACGGCAGGCUGAGGAUCGGGCAGGAUCGGGCUCCUCUCGUUCAGAUCAGAUCAGAGUUGAGUUCAGAUUGGGCUCCUCUUUUUCGUGCCUCAGAUCAGAGACAGAGGCACAGCUUCGACGGCGGGCUGGCUAGACAGCAUCAGUGACGACGGGGGGCUCAGAUCGGGCUCCUCUCGUUCAGAUCGGAUCAGAGGUGUGCCGCCUUCUCUUCCCCCGAUUCGCCCCUCCCUUCCCCCGAUUCACGCCUUGCCUUCUCCCGAUUCGCGCCCUCCCUUCUCCCCUUCCCCCGAUUCCCGCGUUUUUGCUGCGUGGUCCACACCGCGUCGCCCGAGCGAGGCGCCGGAUCCACACUGCGUCGCCCGAGCGGCUGCCUGGUGCUUUUGUCAGGGAAGAACUCGGCUCUUCUGUAGGAGCCCGUUUUGCUCUGCAAGCAACAGGUUUGGAGGAGGUGGCAUCGAACAUGUAGACGUCGCAGAUGAGGCAUCGGUCCAGAGUGGAGCGGUGUACAUGCUCUUAAUCGCUGGGAUGCUUCGUACAGGGUGGGCCCCAUGACAGAGGCCAAGCACGAUGGACAUAGUGCUACACUGCAAUGCCGUGAAACAGGGCAAAGCAAGCGUGGAAUGGCUCUUGUGCUCAGUUAGUGAACGGUCGUUAGCGAGCUACUCCAGCAAGAACGCAGACACGCAGUGGAUGGAACGAAUGGGAAUGAAUAAGCACAAGCACCUGGUGCGCAAGCAGGCAGAAGCUGACCUGAACCUGGUGGCUUGCUUCGAAUUGACUGAGAAGUGACAGGCAAUCAAGAUAUAGAGGAAUGGAACAACGUAACAUAAGCACAAAAUAAAUAGAACACGAUAUUUGAUAUUCUCAUGUAUAAAUAGAUAUAAUCUCUUAUAGUGGCUGGUAUUUAUUGAGGUUGACAAGUACGUGUGAUAGAUCACAGUUAUAAAUUCCACCGAAUUCAGAGGAAUCUUUAUGACCUAUGCAUCAUUCCGCACAAUGUUUUAAGAUGGGGAAACAUUGCAACACCACCUCAAAGAAAUUAAAGAACAGAAACAACAAUAACGUUUUGAGCUCUGGUAGAAACUAAUACAUCAAUUGGAUUAUCAAAUGUUGAAAUGAUUGUCUCACAAAAUCCAUUCCUACACUUACUACACGCGGUAGCAAGAAAGACACAGACACAUAUACAUGCCUAUAUUCUGCUCGAGAACAUGAGCAGCACACUGACAAUCAACACAUUGCAGUAAGAAAUCAAAACAAAAUCUUCCAUCAGCAGCAUCAGCACCAUUUGUCAAGCAAUGGCUUCCCCGGCGAGUAUCAGCGGCCUAGGGGGAGUACCUGCUUGGCAUCAGUAAUUUCCACAAGCUAGCCCAUCUUCAAACUGGGGGCAUGUCGCCUUCUGCAGAUUGAUCGUCUCUGCCUUGGGAAUGGAAAGUAAGAUGCUCUGACAUGUGAUGCCUAUCCGCCAACGUCUCCAGUCCCAUGAACGACCAAAGCAGAUAGAUGUAGGACAGGAACUCACCGCCUUCACCCAAGCUCUUGGCAUGCAGGUAGCCCCUGCACCUGCUGGCGGAAUAGCAGAGCAUCUCCACCCACACGCCUUGGAUCACAGUCCACCUCUCCUCCUCGCUGCCUAGAUCCAUUAGUGCUUUGGCGAGUUUGCUCGCAUUGGAAAUCAUAUCAUCUGCCAAUGUCAGCCUUGGCAUGUUAAGGAUCUCCUGUGCAAGAUUUUCUUCUGUCAUGUCGAGCGGUCCCUUGCUGUUUUCGAAAAUCUGGUCAGUGGCCAACUUGGCAAGAGCUGAUCUGGUGCCAAGCAUAAGCAUCUCAGGACGGAUGAGAAGCAAGUAGAACAUAUAGUUGGAUAUGCUCCUGCUGCCUUGUGUGGCUUCUUGUCGACGUUGAGGGGAUGUGUCGGGGUGAUAAAAGCAGAGCUCUGUGGCGACAUGCCAAACAAGAACGCUCUCAUCCAAAGGCAUCUUCAAGGUCCAAGCUAGCUGAUGGUGCAUCCUUAGAGCCAACUGACCUCGGAGCGCACUGAAGCUCUUGUAACUUGCAGCGUCGCAUAUGCACUUCUUCCAACCAUCUUCCAUGUGUCGGCGUACCGUCUCCGAGAUGUGGUAUGCUGUAGGUACUUGUUGAAUAUACCAAUGUUGGUUAAGAAGCUCUCUUAGAAAGUCGAAGGUAGCAAGCUUCAUCAGGAAUGUGGGCUUCUUCUUGCGAACACACAAGGACAUGAUGUUGUGCUGGGAAACCAUGUUGUGCCAGCCACAAAUAGGAUCGUCAAGGAAAUGAAAGAUACGUGGAACUAGUAUCAUGGAGAAUGCCAGGAAGGGAACGUAAAGCUCCAACACGGUGGUACAACAUAAUAAGAUGUAUGUCACCCAAAUGUCCUUUUCGUCCUGACCAUCCUUGCGGCUCUUGGCAAAGAGCACAAUAGAAGCUAAGGCUAGGAAAGGAAGCAAAAGGAAUGAGCCAGUGCCAAGUCCAGUGCCAAUUAAUCCAUUUCUGGUGUACAUGUCAUCAAAUGUGUCUCCUAGCUUCUCCUGAAGCUUUUUGUAUGCAUGCUUAUAUUCAAGCUUCAGGAAAGAUGUCAACUCUUCAAUUCGAACAGAGUAUGGAGCAGACUGAUCAAGGAACAUAAAAUCCAUAUCAUGCUUAUACUCAAUGUGUAUCUUUGUGUUCAAUACACACCUCUUUGCUGCUUCUACAUAUUCUUCACGCGUAUAUUCUCUCUGCGCACUUGUGAGGGGCACCGUGCUGGACUGGAGGCUGUUGAAGCUGGCGGUCUUGAGGGCCCAUGGCUUCUGAGCAAAUCUGAGAACACCAAGAAUAAAGAGCAAGACCGCUGCCGCCAGCUGUGUCUUCUCGCCGGACCACCAUCUGCAGAAGACAUACACGGCAACCGUGAUCUGGGACACAAGGGUUACUAUAUGUCGCUUCCAUAGCUCGUUGUCUUCGAGGCUGUAGGCACUUAUCCCUGGCUGGCCGCCAAGAUGGAUGAGGAGGAGAGGCACCCAUAGGACCUCCAGGUUGUUGCUGCGCUCCUCAUCACAAGUCUGCCUGCGGCGGUUGAAGAGGGUGGCGAGGGCGAAGAUUGCCACGGCGUCGCUGCUUACGUAUGCUAUCCACACCAGUACUCUGUAGCGGCGUAGGAUAGGAACUCUACGCGCAUAAUGGGAGAAGAGGAGGAUGUACUGGAUGAAGAGGCUGGUGAGGACGAGGAUGCGCAGCUGCCACUCCUGCCACCAUUCCACGGCACUUGAAAGUACCAUCACCAAUGCGAAUCUGCUACUCGGUACUCACUCAACUCACUGGGGAGAGGGAGAAGAAGAAGGUGGUGAGGAUGAAGAAGCUGCAGUACUCAGCGGCUGAAGUGGGAGUGAGUGAGACAGAUAGCUGGGCGGGCUUGCCCUGCCGGGCUGCCCCUUGUAUUAUUACUGGACAAUUGGACGCUCUGGAUGGCUUCCGCUCUGGAUGGCUUGAAGAAACAUUGGAUGGUCUGGAUGGCUUGAAAGGUAGGGUUUAUUUUCCAUUGGGUCCUCACAGGCAAGACCUCAGCCUCAAGUCUGGAUGGCUUGAAAGGUAGGGUUCAUCCACGCGGCUGUGGCCACUAAUGACUCUGUGCAGGACACCUACCUACCAGGCAUUUGGCGUUGCACUAAGUAUAUUUUGUUCCACUUGCCCAACUAGUUCUGUAAGUUUAGUUUUGUCAGUUAAGACUUACAUUGAUCGAUGAACGGACAGAUUGUUUAUCCUCGUUUACAAUACUUUAUUAUAUGCAUGUUACUCCUAGUCUCCUAGGAUGCAUUUGGUCGAGCCAGGUCCACGAGCGAUGAAAUCGACCCGUUGGUUGUCUGUGCUGCAUAUGUUUAUUGCACGCCCGGACCUCAAAAGCAGCUCCAGGCAUGGUUGGUUGUGAAGGAAUGGCCGAAUCAACAGUUUUUUUUUGUGAGUCAGGCUCACUCGAGCCAAGCGAGUGCUUGCCCAAGUGGGGAAGCACGACAGACGACGUGACGUCUCAUAACUUCCCCACGCUCCUUUCCGUCACCUCCCUCCCUCUCCUGUUCACACCCACUCGCUCUCGCUCCCUUCAUUAUCCGUUCGGUUUCUUCAAUGGUAGAGUCGCUGUCUCGCCACGCCCCACCCACUCCCGUCAUCGCCGGCAGCAACCUCAUCCAUGGGAUCUCGGCGGGGCUAUCCGGGGGCCGUCCCCAUUCUGCACCAUGCCACCGCCCCGGGCUAAUGCAGCAUCGCCUCCGCGCGCUUCAGCCCCGCCUGUUGAGCCGGACUACGUCAUCGUGGGCUCGAUGGCGGCGGGGUUACGAAUCCCACCCCCUACGACUUUGGCCGGGCCCACAUAUGGGGGUAUUUGUACCCCCAUUCAAGGGUUUUCUCCCCUGGUGCAAGGGGAGGGGAGCUCGAGCAUGCCGCCGUUUUCUUCCCAUCGGCGCGUGACGAGGACCAUGGCCGCGGCCCUCGGAAUGGCUACAUCUUCUUCGACAAUGGUGGCACUCCUGUUCCCGCCGGGGUUUUCUCCACGAUCGGCGUACGCUCCACUGGCAACGCCCACCGUAAGCUUCCAAUAUCCCUCUUGCUUCCUAGUUAGGGUUCUUAGGGUAGUUCGAGCAAUGAUAGAUUACUUUGUUCACAUUGGAUUCGAUCCGAUUCGAUUCGACUGGAUUCGAUCCGAAUCCACUGCUUUUUGGUUAAAUGAGAGUGCAUGCUAGUGUUCGUACUGCUUACAUGACAAUGCUUCUGCCUUAAGCAUGCUAUAUGAUGUCAAUGCAGGCACAAUGUUGCUGCCUAAGGUAGAUUUGAUUGUUCACUCCACAUUUAUAGUGCCUAAGAUGCUACUUAGGUGUUGUUUUUGUUGUUUUGCUGAUGGUCUUGCUGCUGUUAGUGACAUUCUUGUUGUUGUUAGUGGCGUUCUUGCUGCUGUUAGUGUUGUUCUUGCUGUUGUUAGUGUUCUUGUCAGUGUGUAAGUUUGUAUAUUACUAGUGCCUGGGCUACAUGACUGCAUGAUCAACAUAGGACAGGGCAUGUGCAUGCUAGUAAGACAACCAUGAAUGCCCAAAAUAGAAGUAGGACCAACUUGAUUGCAUAAUUAUUGUCAAAAAAAAACUUGAUUGCAUAACAAGCAUGUGCAUUUGGCAUGAUUUGAUAGCACUGAUCACUCCUAGCUAUGAUCGUUGGUAGCACUGAUCAUUGCUAGAUAUGAUUGUUGGUAGCACUGAUCAUUGUUAGCUAUGAUCAUUGGUAGCUCUAAUUACUGUUAGUACUGAUCAUUGUUAGCUCUGAUAAUUGGCAUUUUCACUUUUGCAGGAUCAUAGCACGACUGCUCUCUGCCAAUAAUCAUCUCUCAUUUGCUAACUAUCGUCCACUUUAUUGGAAAGAUAAUGAAGACGGAGUGGAACACAGCCGGCAGAGGAGCGCAGGUCGUCGUCACGCAGAGGGUGACAAGGACCUCAUCGGGACGUGGUUCCUGGCAGUGGAAUACAUGAGCUUGGCGGGCGGCACCGGCAGGAGUCCAAGGAUCGGCCACGAGGAGGGUGCACGGUAAUCUAUCAGGUUCUACGUGCAGAUUCAGGACCAGGAGGACAUCACGGUGCUGGUCAUCCCGCCUGCCUUCAGGUCGAUGAUGAAGCAAUGGCUGGUCCUUUGCCCUCCUCGUGUCGUCAGCCUCUCUACCAACAAGUGGUGCCAAUUCUGCAUCCAAGUGUAGUAUUUCAAGGGACACAUGGUGCUCGGGCGCAACUGGGAGUACUUCUAUCGGCGGCACAAGAUCAUCCCCGACGACCUUGUAGUCCCGAGGCUCUCCAACGUGGGGCUGAAAGUGCAGACCUUCAACACCAACACCUCCAACAUUUGGAGGGUCCAGUGCUCGAAGCACAACUGCGUCGGCGACAUCAUGCACGCCCUCUAGGUUGUCUUUCUGUAGAUCGUCUGAAGUAUGAACUAAGUUAGGUCUAAACUGAAACUUCAUCGUCUCUUUUGAUGUGAACUUGUCCAUAUUUUGCCAAGGGAACCACACCCUAGGGUCCAGCAGGGAGAUGGGAUGCCCUACUUUUUUAAACUUAUGCCUAGUACUACGUUUGACCUGUCUGGUCUUGAUGUUCGCAUUGUUCUUGUUGUUCUUCUAUUGUUGUUCUCGCUGAUGAUGUCUUUUGUGUGGUGUGUGCUGCAAAAUGGAUGGUAAGUCCACAUUUAGAAGGGGUGAGCAGAACGAUUACUUACACACAGCCAAAAAAUUGUGCCUUGCAUCUGGUCACCCCUAAAGCACAAACACGGGCAAUCAAACAACAUGCCACCAUCUGGACCUUGAUGCAAUGGAUGCAACUAAUCAACAUGCAGAUGUUGAUUUUUUUUUUUUCCUGCAUUAUAUCAACCAGCAGGGUCCGGCCGGCAAAAUACGGGGCCCUGUGCGAAACUAAAAAGUAAGGUCCUAUCACACUAGAAAGAAAUGAACUAACUAGCAAUUAUAAUGUAUAGAUGACUCAAAUUUGUAUUACUAAAACACAAGAUAUGAAACAAGAAUGGAAUAAAAUUGAAGUAAUAAAACAACAGAUAUCAAUUAAAGAUUGUGUGAGAAUGUUUGUCAAUUAGACGAACCGUCUAACUCACCUAGUCUCUAAUUAGAAAUUAGGGGAAGGAGCCAAAUUUAAUCAGAAAGGAGGACUCGCCAGUAGCAGACUACCUGUUUUGACUAGAGGAUCAGAGAAACUGCCGCUGACGCUCUGAAGUCUGGAAUUUUCGCCAAUCAAUUCAGCGAUCCAAUUUCCGAUGAUCCAGUCGAGCAGCGCCUGAGAACUAUCGCCAAGGCCAACCGAUCAGAUGAGUUGCAGUUUGUAGCGACGCGACGCGACGGCUUUUGCCUUUUUGCACUCCUGACGGUCUCCAUUUUCCUUUUUUAGGGUUAGUGAUCUCUGUUUCCUUUUAUCUAUCUCCCAUUCCAUUUUUUAGGGCUGAGGAUCUCCGUUUUCCUUUUCUGAAACUGUCUUCGUUUCCUUUUUUCGAAGGAAAAUCUUUGUUUCCUAAUAUAUAUAUCUCCCUAAUAAUAAACCACGGACCGCUUCUGUCGUACGUCGUUGUCGGUUUUGCAGAAAAGCCCAUGUUGUUUUGGCUAUUCAACCCGCACUACAGUUUUAAGUGAAUCGAGGCCGCAAGGCAGCGCUGCCCACGGGAAGCUUCGAGGGGUGGGUCGUCACCAACCUCCCGAGCGAGGCAUGGCUAGGACGGCGGCACACAACGGCGGCGGGGCGAUGCGAGGGGCAUGCAGGAGAGGAACGAGGCCGGAUCUGGCACGAGACACCCCUGAUCCAUUCGUCCCCUGCUGGAAUGAAACAGAGGUGAGAUCGGGACGCCGGCGGAGGUCCAUGGCGCCUGCAGAAUGGGAGGCAGAGAGGGAUUAGAGAGAAGAAGAGAGGAGAGGAGGAGGAAGAAGAAGCAGCAGGGGCGCGGUGGCUCGAAUUGCUCUGGAUCGGGAUCAGCGGUGGCUCGGCUCGCUCUGGAUCUGGAGAGGAGGAAGAAGAAGAACCAGCGGGCGGCGGCUCUGGAUCGGGAUCCCCUCCCGUUCGCUGCGGGCUCAACCCUUCCCCAGCAAGAGCAGGGGUGCGCCCGCGCGUCCUCCUCCUGGUACAGCCUCAAAUCCCUCAUCCAUUUCCCCGUUCUCUGCUUCUCUGACUCUAGCUGUGUUAAACGCAUAGUAUUAACUUCUUGAACGGCCAUGGCUCACCCACGGGUUCUGUGCGUCUAAAUUGCUUUGCUUGCAGGGAGGGGAAGACCGGUGAUGGACUGGCCGACGAGGGUGAAGAUCGCGGCGGGAUCGGCGCGUGGGUUGGCCUACGUGCACGAGGACUGUAAGAUGUGGAUGGGUUUACUUUUGCUCCUAUUUCUGCGUCUAUUCGUUCUGAAUUUGCAGCUGAUUUUUUGUGCUCUUUGCUGUUGUACAUAGGUCAUCCAAGGAUCAUCCACGAGGACAUCAAGUCAUCCAACAUCCUUCUCAACGACAACUUAGAAGCUCAGGUUAUGCUCUUUCUCAAUAAAAUGGCUAUUGUUCUAUCGAUGGUAGUAUGUUCAGUUACUGACCUUUGUCGAGAAAAAAAAUGUUCAGUUACUGACGAAACCUGAAUGUCGCAUUCAUCGUAAUCUAGGUCGCGGAUUUCGGGCUUGCCAGGCUCGCGGAGAACGACGUGACACACGUCUCGAUGCGUGUGAUGGGCACAUUCGGAUAAACAAACCAUAUCUAACUGCAGGAGCCAUUCAUCUCGGCACGUCGAUAGGAAAUGAGGAAAAAUUGUCAAAAACUCUGUGUUUGUGGUGACUGAAAACGAACAGGUACUUGGGACCGGAGUACGCCUCGACAGGGAAGCUGGCGGAGAAAUCGGACGUGUUCUCCUUCGGGGUGGUGCUCCUGGAGCUCAUCAACGGCCGGAAGCCCGUCGACACAUCCCGCCCCCUCGGCGACGAGAGCCUCGUGGAGUGGGUAAGCAAGAUCACCACCGGCAGGCAGCAACAGCAGCACACCCAUGCAGUACGCCAUUGCAUCCAUCACUGACAGCGUGCUCGCUCGUGCACCUUGUCGCAGUCGAGGCCGCCGCUGAANNNNNNNNNNNNNNNNNNNNNNNNCCGCGCGAUCGACGAGCAGGAGUUCGAGGAGCUGGUGGACCCGCGCCUCACCGGUGACUACGACGACGUCGAGAUGUUCCGCAUGAUCGAGGCGGCGGUGGCAUGCAUCCGGCACUCGGCCGCCAGGAGGCCCAAGAUGGGGCAGGUUCGUGCGUUCGGGCGAGGAAGAAGAACCUCCUCCAACCUCACAACGUCUAUUCUCGCCAUUUAUUUGUUUCGUCUUGGGCUGCGUUGCAGGUCGUUAGGAUUCUGGACAGCCUGACCCUGAACGACGUGGAGCUGAGCAACGGCGGCAGGAGGGAUCUGUAGCCAGCCUCGCGAGCUUCCGAUGAUUUUGUUUCUGUUCAUCUGUUGAUUGUUUUGUUCAUGAUAUUUUACAAUGAAUUUGUAUUUGCUGUCUUACUACAUGUCUCUUUCUUUCUUUCUUUGGUGUGUACGUUAACAGGGUAUGCCCACAUGGUCAUGUAUUUUUAGUUAUUCUGAACAGAUAUACGUUGUUUUUCUCAUAGGUUCCCUGAAGUAAGAAAGUGUUGUGAAUAGGGCAUUGUGGAAAUUAUUGUUGUACGCCCCUAUACACAAGCCUUCGUAGGCGUUAAGAGUCCAUCCAUGAAAAGAGGCUGGAAAAGCUUGAACCGUAAUUUCCGAUCACCCUCUAGAAUGGCAUGUUCUCCUCGGUUGAAAUAGGAAGAAUGUCAUGUUCUUGAUUAGAAUAGGCAGUUUCUUCCCUUAGAACACUACUUGAGAGUUUCCUACCUCAUACGACUCGGAAAUUGCCAUCUUAAUUUCCCACGCCAUUUGAAAUCAGUAAAUUCCUGAAAGAGGAGGGGGCGAUGAAAUGGAAUCGACCGGCUCAAAUACGACAUCUUCUAGAGGGCACAUAUUUUUUUAUGGAUUUGCUAAUCUUAAUCUUCUUGCCAAUGGUAAACACAACAAGUUGGCACAUCAUAUGACUAGAUUUUUUUUGACAAUCAUCUUUUGACUAGAAUAAGGCAAAGAGAUCGAGGUCAAAGUGGACACCGAGCUAUGGGGCAACUAUCUCUCCUAACACUAGCUUGAUUUAUAAACGCUCUCUUGAAAUGGAAUAAAACUUCAGGUGAGGAUUCUCUUCUUGUGAAAGUUUGAAAAGAAAUCUAUACAUACUAAUAAAAGAAAUAGGCAUUCUUAAUCCGUCAUACUCUUUCUCUAGAAACCCUCUUAAGUUUCUGAUAAUCAACCCGCAGUAUAUAUUAAUUGAGUUUUUGAAAAUUCAUAUCUUUUUAACGCUAACUUUAAAUUUAACAUGUUAUAUAUGAAAUUUGAUUAGAAAAAUAUGUAGAAUCUGAAUAUGAUAUUAUUUUACGUGUUAACAAUUUAAAAAUGCUAUUUACUAUAUAACCUUAAUCGAUAGCGCAUGAUCAGUCUUUCCUUCAUAUCGGUGUCGAUUCGAAUUGAAAAUGAACACUUUGGCAAAACUAGGAUGGAGAAUAAAAAUAAUAUCUAUAAUCACGCAUGCACGCCUUGUCAAAACCUCACAGAAAAAAUAAAUUUAUCAUUUUAUGUUGAGAGGGAGACAUCUUAAGAUUGACAACAUUCAAACAUGUUGUGAUGAUGUGAACACUAAAGCCAGCGUCGUGGAAAGAAGGGUAAAUAGAAAUACACAUGGGAUUUCAUGUGUUGAAAUAAAGGACACGGGCCUAUGGACCCAUGAUUGUUAGAUUAGUGAGCGUUUUUCUUACCCGUUGCAACGCACGGGCUCUUUUGCUAGUAAUACCUAUCGAGCAGCGCUGCAGCUGCCGAUCGAUCCGACACUCGAUGUCUCGAGGCUCGACUCACGAGGAAGUGCUAGCGACCCAGUGCCAUGAGCGGCCCAAUGUCCAGGAAUAGUUAACAUGUUAUAGGCCUAUAAAAAACUUGGGACCCCUAACAUCUAUGGGCCCUGUACGGGCCGCAGAGUCUGGACAGCUAUGGGCCCGGCGCUGUUAACCAGGCCCAAAUGGAUCAAGUAUGCAAAGUGGCAAAAAACGCAUCCCUACCAGUAGGCCUUGAUCAAGCCCAGAGGUAAUCAAACGCAUCCCUAGCAGUAGGCCUUGAUCAUACUAAUACAACUACUUGGCCAAAUACACAGCCAGAUUCCUUAACCCCACCCUGAAUCCCGCUGAAUGAAAUAAUAGUAUAAAUGAGUCAGGUGGCAUCGUCUAAUAUAAUACUAGUAGAUGAAUAGAGUAUUAGAGUAAAUACAAUAAAGUGACGUAGGGGCGGGGGGCCCUCUAAGACUCAAAAUGGUAUAUUAUUUUAGUUGAAAGAGAGAGAAGAAAAAAAAAAGGACUACAAACUAAUAGCCAGUUGUAGCACGUGGUCCUAGAAACUUUGUGAAAGAGAAAGAUGGGCCAUGUAUUAAUAACUAUUAUAUUUGUUGGCUAUAAGUUUGGCUAUAAAUAAAAUGACAACAUCAUAUAGCUAGCAGUAUUCAUAAACAUUCUCUUAGGACAUAUCUAGGACACAUCUAGAAGUGCCUAAUUAUUGCACCCCUAAGUGACACAAUCAAGCAUAACACAGAUCUCCGCACAAAUUCAAUGAUAUAGAAAUUAGAUGUGUAAAUACUUAUGGGCUAUGGCACAUCUAGACUAUAUGUGCUUUAGGUUGGACGGUAUUAAUAUUUUCUGGGCUUCCCACGCAUAAUGGGCUAGUUUGGUUUGCAUCCACGGUGGUAUUCCUGAGGAAAAGUGCUGCCUGGCGUGGCUUGAAAUGUGAAGAAAAUUUUGCCUGGUCAAGCAGCGUGUGGCGAAAGACGUUUGGUUUCCUUACUCGCCUGAUGAGUUAUGUAGGUUCGAAAAUUAGCCCAUCAGCUCGUCCAUCGAGAAGUAUUACGUUGGUUAGCGUCCCAGGCAGCUGUUAGUGGUCACGAGGCGUGGGAUUCCUUGCGCCUGGACCAGGCUAACCACCUGCCUGAAGUCUCCUGCCAGGCUAAUCACUACUCAUCCAGGCAACCUCAGGCAUUUCCAGGACAGUAACCAAACGAGUUCCUCAAAACAGCAGGCACGCUUCAGGCCGGAUGUCAUGAGGACACGAACCAAACUGACUCAAUGUACUUGCACACUGAUGUCCUAGUGCUUGUGAGAGAAUCGGAAAUCUCGAACAACUCUGUUGGUGAUUCAAGAAGCAUGCUCUAGAAUUUCUCCUUCCGUAAGCCAAAAGAUCCACGCCCUAUAAUCGAGGUAAAGCACUCGCGCAGCUCUGAUUAGCUAUCUAAUUAAUUAAUCCAGCUAGGUGCUCUAGUACUAGGUGAGCGGAUUGAGGCGAGGUGCUCUAGUACUAAAUGCAAUGGAGCGAAUGGGAAUAAACGCAAGCACCUGGCGGGCGGUUGAAGCUGGCCUGGUCCUGGUGGCGCUCCGCUCCCAGUCCCAGCUUCCAGUGGGCGUAGCCGCGGGGGAGAGGGUGGGUGACCAAGGAGGAGGACGCAAUUUAGCUGGAAGACGAGGCGGGGUGAGGUGAUCCGGCUCGCCGUCGUCUUCGCCUGGAGCUGGAGGUCGACCAGGGCAGCUCCGCGCCCUCACCCUCUCCGCCGCCUGGAUUUCCGCGCCAUCAGGCCGACCACGCACGCCCAGCUUGCACGUCGGGGCGUCUCGUCCCCGCGCCACCACCCGCGCGGCCGACGAGUCGGUCUGGCGCCUGCGUUACGAGCGCGCGGCCGCGGCCGCGCCCUUGGCUCCUCUCACGCUCGGCUGCUGUGGAUUCUUUCACUCAGGGACAGAGGGGAGCGUUUUAAGGUGGGCCGGAGGAUAACGCGAUUCUUAUUUUCCACAUGGUUAUUUUGGUUUUUGUUCAUUUUUCUUUGAUUUUUUUUAUUUCCUUCUCUUUUUUUAUCGUUUUCUAGGUUUUCACUGUUUCUUUUUGGGUUUUGAUUGUUUCCAUUCUUUUACAUGGUUUUGUUUUCUUUUCCUGUGGUCUGGUUUCUUUGUUUCUUUUCUCAAUUUUAAUGGUUUUUUCAUUAUUAUUUUUCUUUAUUUCACUGUCAGUUUU